GUGUGUGAACGCGCGUUUUCUCUCCGUCGAUGGGGAUGUGGGUUUUUCUGAUGCUCGCGGCGCGCGCAGGACCGAUGAGGAUUAAUAAUAAUAAUAAUAAUAAUAAUAAUAAUAAUAAUAGUCGUGUGCUCGGUUAGACUGUUUAUCUGCGCGCGCUGCAGCAAACAACUUUUGUUUUCGUUUGGCUGUUGGUCGUUUCAUACUGCGUUCAUAUCCGCCGCGUUACUUUGGCGCGCGCACUAUGCUGCUCGGCGCUCCGGCGCUCACGUGGCUUCUUUCCGGUGCAUUUGGACCCAACCGGGGGAGGCGCGCGGCCGCUCGGUCAGUGCGUGUGCGCGCUUUUUGGGCACCUUAAGGACAGAUUUUUUUUUUUUUAAUUGAUAUCUUUUUUUGCAAGCAUGUUUUUUUCCAUGAAGGACCGACUUGAGCCUUGAGACUUACGACUUAAGACUUGAGGCGCGUGUGCGCGCGUGCCUCCGUCUUCAUCAGGUCUGCAGCGCGAGGAGACCGUCGGAGAAUCUCCCGAGAAACCGGAGGGACGCAAAGUGCACGAGACUGGAGGCGACACGCAGCAGAUAUGGGUCUGUCGAUUUGUGCCAAGAGAUUAGCAUGCCUCCUCUCUCUCCUUGCCACCUUUCUCCUUCUUCUCUGCUCCGGGGAGAAAACAUGCCCCUACAGCUGCCGCUGUGAGGGUAAAAUCGUCCAUUGUGACUCAGCAUCUUUCAUUGACGUCCCAGAGAACAUUUCAGUAACUUGCCAGGGUUUGUCUCUGCGAAACAAUGACUUGCACACAAUGCUCCCUUACCAGUUUGCCCAUCUGAACCAGCUUCUCUGGCUGUAUCUGGACCACAAUCAGAUCUCAUAUGUAGACAGCCGUGCUUUCCAGGGCAUACGACGUCUAAAGGAGUUGGUCUUAAGCACCAACAGGAUCUCACAACUACACAAUGCUACGUUCCAUGGUGUGCCAAAUCUCCGCAGCCUGGACCUAUCCUAUAACAAACUCCAGGAAUUGCAGCCAGGUCAGUUCCAUGGUCUUCGAAAGCUACAAAAUCUGCAUCUACGCUCCAACGGGCUCACAACAAUUCCUGUUCGGGCUUUUAUAGAGUGCAGAAGCUUGGAGUUUCUGGAUCUGGGGUACAAUCGACUUCGCGUCCUCACGCGUACCACAUUCUUGGGUUUAUCUCGGCUGAUGGAACUGCACCUGGAGCACAAUCAGUUCUCUCGGAUCAACUUCUUUCUUUUUCCACGCCUUGCAAACCUCCGUGGGUUGUAUCUCCAGUGGAAUCGUAUCCGAGCAGUUAACCAAGGACUCCCCUGGAUGUGGUAUACCCUACAGAAGCUGGACCUGUCUGGCAAUGAGAUCCAGAGUCUGGAUCCUGUGGUUUUCCAAUGCUUGCCAAAUCUUCAGGUUCUUAACUUGGAGUCUAACAAGCUUGCUAAUGUGUCCCAUGAGACGGUGGCAGCCUGGAUUUCCCUCUCAACAAUCAGCCUCGCUGGGAAUGUCUGGGAUUGUGGGCCGGGCAUUUGUCCUCUUGUUGCCUGGUUAAAGAAUUUUCGUGGAACUAAGGACACAAGUAUCAUUUGCAGCAGUCCUAAACAUCUUCAGGGGGAAAAGGUUAUGGAGGCAACAAAAAAUUAUAUAGAUUGUGAAGAUUUUGAACUCAUCCCCCAAACACCGUUUCCUCACCACACUUGGGAGUCAAGUAUGGAAACUACCCCGGAGCCAAUCUUGCCUUUGACAACUCCCGAACAACCCCUGCCUCCAGCCACCUCUGAACCACCCAUCCCACCAUUGUUAGCUCAACCUCUUCCUUAUCCUACUAUGCCUGAAACUAACCCCAGAGACACCCCUCCGAAUACGCCACCACCAUCCAACAGCCUACUAGUGACUCCAUCUCCAGAACAAGAGGACUUAUCCUUCCAUAAGAUUGUCGUUGGUGGUGUGGCACUUUUCUUUACAACAUCACUCAUCUUGACAGUGAUAUAUGUCUCCUGUAAACGGUAUCCUGGAGCCACAAGGCUGUUGCAACAGCGCUCCGUGGUUGGACGGAAGAGACGGAAAAAGAGUCCCGAGCCAGAACAGAACCUGAGCUCCCAACUGCAGGAAUAUUACAUGAGCUACAACCCUGCUGCUACGCCGGAAGCCAUGGAUGUACUGGCCAAUGGGACUGGUACUUGCACAUGUACCAUAUCCGGCUCCAGGGAAUGUGAGGUAUGACAAUGUCAAGGGCAGCCUAAAAUCAAAACAAAUCAAAGCAAAUGAAACGGCUCUGGACAACAGAGAAUGAAUAUGUGUGUCCCAGACCACUGCCUCGAGCCUGGAUCGGAGACAUUCCCACAAUUCACUAGCUGGACUUCUAUCUCCACUUGAUCAUCUGCAACAGGGUUCCUGUAAAGAAUUUCCAUCACUUCACAUCCCACUUCGGCCAUUUCCUUCCGUUUGGAUUGUAGGAGUGUACCAGAGGAGCGAGCAAGUUGUCCUUUCCCAGAAUCCCUUGCUGUGAAAGCAUUUUGUAUUAUAAUUCUCGAGACAGAUUUUUUGCGAAAAAAAACAGUUUCUUUUAAUCGCCUGCCAUUUUUUAGGAGCUUCUCCACUGCAGCCUUGUGACAUGGACUUGUGAAGGACAGCGUGGAUGUGGACGUGGACGUGGACGUGCACGGCUUCAGUGGUGCCUUUUGUGCAUUUUGUUCUCGUCCAUUUUUUUAUCCGGCAGGAAUAAACGAUUUGGAAUCAAAUGCUAAACUAAUGAGCAGUGAGCGAGUCAGGAACGAGGAGAUCAUCUCCUGGAUUUUCAUCCAUAAUCUUCUUCAUCAUCAUCAGAAUAAAAAGAAGGGAUUUUAUUCGCGUUUUUCCAGUCGGACUUAUUCCAUGCUAUUUAACAGUCUUGUGUAUGAGAACGAUGACGACUUUGUGAUGACCCUCGGAUGACCCUCGGUUGGUUGAACACGUAGUCUUGUUUACAACCUCAGCAUGAACACGGAGGGUCUCAAACACUUUCACACUGACUGCAAAGCAACACGUGUGUGUGUGUGUGUGUGUGUGUCUGUGUGAGUGUGUGUACAUACUUACUUAUGGGACAAAGACGUGUGCAUGACAUUCGGGUGUCAACGUGGUUAUAGGGACUUUAUUGUUGGUUUCUUGGCUUCUUUACACUGUAUAAUGUUUCACCCUGCGUUCACACGAGCAAGCGACAAAGUGACAUCAUUUCCUUUAAAUUUAUUAUAAAAUUAAUUAGUUAACUUGAGAGUUUAUUAAAUGAAUGCAACUUAAAUUGCAAAUGUAAAUGGCUCUGUAAAUACCCCAGGCCUGAGUUUAGGUUUUCAGCAAGUUUUUUUUUUUUUUUUCUUGUUGCAGAAACUUUCAAUACUGUGUUUUUUCCUUUUUUACCACAUUGUAUUUUUUUUUAAUAUAUUUUUUUUGCCACAUGACACCAAAACUACAAUAGGAAAUUUUUUUGUAUUCUUGUUUUUCCUUUUUUGUUGUUGUUUUGUUGUUGUUGCAAAAACGUUCAGUACUGUAAUUUUCCUUUUUUUGCUCCUUUUUUAAUAUAGUUUUUAACAAUACCUGAUACCAAAAUUAAACUAGGAAAAAUUGAAUAUUAAAAUAAAAUAAAAGAAUAAUAAAAUAACAUACAUUAUUUUGUUUUAUUUCUAGUGUAGGUUUUUUUUUUUUUUUUACAAAUUGUGGUAGGAAAAAAUAUUAAAAUAAAUAAAUUAAAUAAUAUCCUGUAUAAACUUUAUAAUUUUUUUUUUUUUUUUUUUUAAUUAUUUAUUUGUUUUUUGUUUAUGUUGAUUUUUGUUCUCAGAGCUUUGACUCACUUAUAUCACAUGUUCACCUGUAAGAUCAACAAGCAAACAGCUCUUUUUUAGCUCUUUUUACCACUGGCUCUCUUUAAAGUAGCAUCAAUUCGGGAUUUUACUUCCUGUUUCUGUUUCGUUGUCCGUCUGAAUCGAAUCAGCUUUAGUGACUCGUCUAUGAUAUAUAACGUAAUAAAAUAUCAGUCUUAGAGUUAGUCUGUUUCAAUAAAGACGUAAACGUGUUAAAAAAAAAGGUAUAGUACUGAAUUUUUUGCCACAUUGUGGUGUUGAAAAAUAUGUGCUAGGAGCUCAAAUUAUGAAUUCUAAAAUAAAUAAAUCAUAGAUUAUAAAUGAAACUGUUUACAUUUUAGCUUCAUUUAUAAUCAGAGCUUAAUAACGCUGAGCAGGAGAUUUAUGUACUACUGCGCUGAUGAGUGAUGACGGUGGGUGUUAUCCUUGUCGCUUGCUUGUAUGAACUCAGGGUACGUGUGUGUGUGUGUGAGUGAGUGUGUGUGAAUGUUUUUUGCUUACGCUGCCGUUUUUUUACCCUCUACUCAAUCUUCGCUUGUCCUUUUCCAGAUCUGUCCUUCGUCAUUUCUCUCCACGCUUGACUCCUGAUCAUUUAAUCAUUCCUUUUUGAAACGAACUCUAACGUUUUUUGCCGCCAACAUGUUUCUGUUUUCUAACGCUGUCAGAAUCAAUGGUGAGAAAUAUACACUGGUCCAAAUGGAAAUGAGUAUUGAUGAGUCGUAAUGAAUUGCUACCAACAGAGUUAGAGAGAAGGGGAAAAAACAGUAAAGGAGGGUGAAAGUAAAUGAGUAAAAUGAUCUCUUUCUCCCACAAAGGACUCAAAGAUUUGCUCUUGUUGGUUAAAAAAAACAAUUUAAUUAAAAAUCAUGAGGGUCCAGUUACAUAAAAUUCCCUGCAUCCAACAUGAAUAAAUAAUGAUAACUUUUUAAUUCUACACCAUUAAUGUUUCAUUUAUUGCUAUAAAUUCCACACAUUACUUUCACUUUACAGCUUUUUUUUACUAGCUCUUUUUUUUUACUAGCUGUAUUACGAAAUAGAUCCACUCAUCUUUAAACACAGUUUUUGUCAUCGACUUGUUUAUUUUUGAACGAGCCAUGUUGUCACUUUGCUGAUCACAAGUAGAGAAGGUAAAUAAAUCUAUUAAAGUCUGUGAAAACACUUUCCUUUCUUGAGGAGAUGCCUUCAGCUAAACAACUCGUAUAAAUGCAUGUGAUUGGUCAUAACAGAGGAACUGCUCCAGAAACCCAGGAAACAAACAGGAAACGAGUCCACCAUCUUUAAAGAAUUCUUCAACAUUUUCUUUUUAAAACAUCUAUAGUAACAGCUCAUUCAAGUAGAACCCUUUCAGGAGCAUGAGAACCCUUAGUUCUCCAAGUAGAACCCUUUUGCAAGCCAAACAACCCUUUUAAGUUGUUAAGUAGAACCCGUUUAAAUGAUAUGGUGAAGUUUUCUGUAAGGAGAAUAAAUGUUUAUUUAGCAUCCUGGAAGGAGUCUCCAGUGUCAGAUGGAAAGCUGAAACUUUAAGUUUUCCAACAUCUUCAGGACAGAGGAGUUUAGGCUUUUUGCAGUUUGGUGGUAACAUGAAAAGCUGAAUAUUUAUUUUCUUUUUAACUUCAAGAGAGAGAAAAGCGAGAGGCUGUGAUGUGUUUAGUGAUUCUGGUGCUAAUUUGUUGGUUGGUCCAUUAUCCCCAUGAGAAGCAGGGGGACAUGACUAUUAGAAAAAUAAUGACGAUCUCAGAUGUAAGUGUUAACCAUCAGGUUUUUGCUGUUUUUGUUUAAUUGUUUGUUGAGUUGUUCAGACUAGGUUUUAAGUUUAAUAAUGCAAUGCUGACUAUCUUCAAACCAAAUCUGUCAUAAAAAGGAAACGAGUGUGAUUACAUUAUUCCUCAAAGCAUAAGACAACAAAUAAGACAUCCACCGAGACUUGAAGUGGAUUUAUUUGCCUGAGAAAUUUAUCUAUUUCACAGAAAUGCUCCAGUAUAUUUUACUAAAUAAUGUAAAUGACACUUUUCAGUUGAAUACAUGCAACAGAUGCUAAUAUGUCUGUCAGUGCAUGAAAGCUACCAGUAAGGAAAAAUAUUUCUUAAAACCAUCAUCAUCUGUCAUUUCCACGCAUCAGUGUGUGACAGGAAUAUUACACCCUCCGGCUGAUAUUCAGUAGCGAAGGAGAGAGAUAAUCGUACACAUAUCAGACAAAUCCCUAACAGCACCUCAGAUAGUCCUGACUCGCUCUGGAACUGCCACGUCUCUUCGCUUUAUCAUGUGUUUCUAAACCUCGGUAUGUUCUCUAAGAGUCUCUGCGGAGUUUCAGGAAGUAAAUUUUAUUUAUAUAGCAAAUUAAACCAACUAAUGUUAAGUCAGAGUGCUUUAAAACCUUAUAACUGCAAGUCACACAAACAUAAAACAGAUUGAUGCAACCACAAACCUUCACACAUUCAGCAGGUUCCAGACGCUGUGUAGAAAUACGGUCAAUUCCGUAAUUAUUGGCACCCUCCAUCAAAAUGAAUAGAAGAUGCUAUAUAAAAUGUAUUUGUACCAUGAGCAAUAUUUUCAGCUUAAACAUAUAGGACCUCUGCACAGUUUUAUUUUAAGAAAAUAGAAUGUUUUUUUCUUAUAUAAUGCCAUUUUUUUUGUCUGGUUCCAAAAGUAUUGGCACUCACUAGAGUUAAUUUGUAGUGAAAGCUCCAUGAGAGAACAACAGGUUGGACAUUUCACUAUUAUACUCUUAUCUUACAUUUGUACAAGCACCGAUGUAUCACGUGUAGUUUGUCACUUGUGGUCGUGGCCUGUCCAGCAUUUUAUUUUUAAAAAUCCAAACAAGAAAUGGAAGCAGCCAAAAUGUAAACUCUAGAGUCUGCUCUAAGUUUUACACACCACUUUUUUAUUUACAUGUUACAUCUUAGGCUUCAUGCUAGCAUAGAUUUUCAAUUAGAUAAGCAGUAGAUUAGCAAGAUAAUUGUACUAGCUGAAACCAUGGUUAUAAGGUUUUUCCAUUUUUGUGCAUCAAACAUUAAUAGUGUUCGAUGAAUCAUUCAAGCUAAUCGAUUUGGACUUCACAGCAUCAUACCUAACUUGUAUAGAAUUAAUAAAAUCUUGAUUAAGAUGCUCCUGUCAAUGAAAUCCGGAGACUGUGAUGGUCGUUACAAAACCUGUGUUGAUUUGGAUGUGUGUUUGGUCUCAUUAUCUUCCACUGAGCUGUAACCUCCUAGCAGAGGCAACCAGGUUUUGGUCUAAAGCACCCUGGUACUUCAUAGAAUCCAUGAUACUGUCAGUCUGAGCUCCUGAACCACCAGCCACAAGGCGUCAGUGAUCCACUGCCAUAUAUUACAGUGGGUUUGUGAGUUUUUUCCUUCAUUUCAGAUUUUUUUUUUUUUUUUUUUAGCAAAUCUGUCGAUGAUUUUCAUAGCCAGAAUGAUUUUGGUCUCAUCUGACUACAACAAAUGAUACCAUCUGUAGCCAAAAUAAGACUUGGUGGAGUUCAUGAGCUAGAUUUUGUAGGUUUUUCUCAGGAAGGGCUUCUUUGGUGAAACCUUUACAGAGAGCUUGGUAUUAUUGAUUUGAUGUCUAAGAGAUGAUUUUAAAACUCAUAAAGCCUGAGAAUUAACUAACAGUGCUUCAUGGUAUUUUUAACUAUUUUAACCCUGUAUUUCUUUUUGUUUUGUGGUUUCUCAAAUUGUUUGAAUCACUGUGUUACGUUUAAUUUAUACAGUCAUACAUAAUGAAUAAAUCAUUCUGUGUCAUGCUCCUAUAGGAAAAUAAUCAACAACAGGGUGGUGUGAUAAAAGCGGACUUAUUGUUACCAUGCCAAAGUUGAUUAUUUUCUUACAACAGCAUAUCCCAAUGUAUAUUAUUCCUCUUAUAACACAGCAAAUUCCAACCUUUACAACUGUUUAACCACAGACAAGAUAUUUCCAUAGUAUUGUGGAACAUAUAAUACAAUGCAGUUAUAUUAUAGCAGCUAUAAACAGUCAUUCCCUCACUAGUCUCUCUUUUUUCACUCUUGAACUUAAUAAGACAAAAAAAAAACAUCUUGUCGUGUUAAAUGUAAAAUGAGCCCUGUCCUGAAGAUGUCAGAAAACUUCAAGUUACAGCUUCACCUCUGACUGUUACAAAGCACGGACACUGGAGACUCCUUCCGUAAAUGUUAAAUAAAACUCUCCUUACAGAAAACUAUAACAUCAGCGAUUUUUUUAACCUGAUUAUGUGGAGCGUCUGCUGUCCUGUGAAUGAGCUGUUAAAUAAGUUAACAUUUUAUUGUUUCUUCCUUAAGGCAUUCCUCCAACAAUACAUUUUACCUUCAGUAUUACAGACGAGUCGGCAUGCUCUGAUGAAUUUUAGGGCACUUCUGUGGAUGAUAACAAUUAACUGAGUAAUUAAAGGGGACAGGAGGCGAGGAACGACAUCAUUACCCGAACCAGCUCUGCGGCUCAUCAGGACAGGAUUGCUGAUUGCUCCAUCAGAACUAAUGUUCACUCUCAGAACCAGACUCCAUUCACACAGCAAAACAAAGUGAAAGGACACAAGCUUCUGCAAGAUUUAACUUUUUUUCAGGCUAUUCAUGCUUGUAAUGUAUUAUUGUUUCCCCGCAGUGACAAAACUGACUCCGUUCAUGAACGGCUUUAUAAUUAUUAAAUGAACCGAAGAAGUCGUGAUGGAGCAGACGUGGAUGUGAGCACAGA